GAUGAACGCUGGCGGCAUGCCUAACACAUGCAAGUCGAUCGGUAAGGCUCUUCGGAGUACACGAGAGGCGGACGGCUGAGUAACGCGUAGGAACACACCCUGCAGUGAGGGAUAAGACACCGAAAGGUGUUCUAAUACCGCAUACGGUCUUCGGAUUAAAGCAUUUAUGCGCUGAAGGAGUGGCCUGCGUCAUAUUAGAUAGUUGGUGAGGUAAUGGCUCACCAAGUCGAUGAUGUGUAGCUGGUCUGAGAGGAUGAUCAGCCAGACUGGAACUGAGACACGGUCCAGACUCCUACGGGAGGCAGCAGUGAGGAAUAUGUCACAAUGAGCGAAAGCUUGAUGGAGCAAUGCCGCGUGCAGGAUGAAGGCCCUCGGGUUGUAAACUGCUUUUAUAAGAGAAGAUUAUGACGGUAACUUAUGAAUAAGGGACGGCUAACUACGUG
rnacentral:rRNA from 1 species